UUGUACUCGCCGUGAAGUGGUUUUGCGGCCUGCAAGUAAACCCAGAGAAGAAGAAGACGAAGUGACGUCAGCGUAAUCUUGCCUCAGGGAAAGUACUGCGGUGUGAAUGCGAUUGGCACAAGCCCCAUGGCGGAUUCAGUGCCGCGGUUUGAAAGCGGCUUAGCAGGGACUUUCGUGGGGGUAAAAAGGUUCUCAUGAACUAAUUUUAGUACCGGCUCUUUUUGGUGUGAACGCGACAAAAGAGUUCUCAUGAACUAAGUUCUCAUGAACCUUUGUGGGAAAAGUACUGCGGUGUGAAUGCGCCUAUUUACAGAUCAAAACCGGACACACAGAAGUGAGCGACGAGCACCACAGAAGGUGCUGAAUAAAAACACAAGGAUGUUGCAGAUUACCACUUUAGUGUCCUUGAUGAGUCUCAUUUGCUGGAAUGGCACAGUGAAUUAACCGUGAUGUCAACCGGCGCCUCAUCCCAUCCAUGCAUCCAUCCAUCCAUCCAUGCAUCCAUCCACCCAUCAUCCAUCCAUUCAUCCAUCCAUUC